GGUUAAGUGACUAAGCGUACACGGUGGAUGCCUAGGCAGUCAGAGGCGAUGAAGGACGUGCUAAUCUGCGAUAAGCGUCGGUGAGCUGAUAUGAAGCGUUAUUAGCCGGCGAUGUCCGAAUGGGGAAACCCAGUGCAAUCCGUUGCACUAUCGUUAAGUGAAUCCAUAGCUUAACGAGGCGAACCAGGGGAACUGAAACAUCUAAGUACCCUGAGGAAAAGAAAUCAACCGAGAUUCCCCCAGUAGCGGCGAGCGAACGGGGAAGAGCCCAGAACCUGAAUCAGUUUGUGCAUUAGUGGAAGCGUCUGGAAAGUCGCGCGAUACAGGGUGAUAGCCCCGUACACGAAGGUGCACAGCUGUGAGUUCGAUGAGUAGGGCGGGACACGUGUUAUCCUGUCUGAAUAUGGGGGGACCAUCCUCCAAGGCUAAAUACUCCUGACUGACCGAUAGUGAACCAGUACCGUGAGGGAAAGGCGAAAAGAACCCCGGCGAGGGGAGUGAAAUAGAACCUGAAACCGUGUACGUACAAGCAGUGGGAGCACCUUUUGGGUGUGACUGCGUACCUUUUGUAUAAUGGGUCAGCGACUUAUAUUUUGUAGCAAGGUUAACCGAAUAGGGGAGCCGUAGGGAAACCGAGUCUUAACUGGGCGUCUAGUUGCAAGGUAUAGACCCGAAACCCGGUGAUCUAGCCAUGGGCAGGUUGAAGGUUGGGUAACACUAACUGGAGGACCGAACCGACUAAUGUUGAAAAAUUAGCGGAUGACUUGUGGCUGGGGGUGAAAGGCCAAUCAAACCGGGAGAUAGCUGGUUCUCCCCGAAAGCUAUUUAGGUAGCGCCUCGUGAACUCAUCUUCGGGGGUAGAGCACUGUUUCGGCUAGGGGGUCAUCCCGACUUACCAACCCGAUGCAAACUACGAAUACCGAAGAAUGUUAUCACGGGAGACACACGGCGGGUGCUAACGUCCGUCGUGAAGAGGGAAACAACCCAGACCGCCAGCUAAGGUCCCAAAGUCAUGGUUAAGUGGGAAACGAUGUGGGAAGGCACAGACAGCCAGGAUGUUGGCUUAGAAGCAGCCAUCAUUUAAAGAAAGCGUAAUAGCUCACUGGUCGAGUCGGCCUGCGCGGAAGAUGUAACGGGGCUAAACCAUGCACCGAAGCUGCGGCAGCGACGCUUAGGCGUUGUUGGGUAGGGGAGCGUUCUGUAAGCCGUUGAAGGUGGCCUGUGAGGGCUGCUGGAGGUAUCAGAAGUGCGAAUGCUGACAUAAGUAACGAUAAAGCGGGUGAAAAGCCCGCUCGCCGGAAGACCAAGGGUUCCUGUCCAACGUUAAUCGGGGCAGGGUAAGUCGACCCCUAAGGCGAGGCCGAAAGGCGUAGUCGAUGGGAAACAGGUUAAUAUUCCUGUACUUGGUGUUAUUGCGAAGGGGGGACGGAGAAGGCUAGACCGGCCGGGCGACGGUUGUCCCGGUUUAAGCGUGUAGGUGUGAUGACCUGGCAAAUCCGGUUAUCUUUAACACUGAGGCGUGAUGACGAGGCACUACGGUGCUGAAGUGGUUAAUGCCCUGCUUCCAGGAAAAGCCUCUAAGCUCCAGAUAACACUGAAUCGUACCCCAAACCGACACAGGUGGUCAGGUAGAGAAUACCAAGGCGCUUGAGAGAACUCGGGUGAAGGAACUAGGCAAAAUGGUGCCGUAACUUCGGGAGAAGGCACGCUGGCAUGUAGGUGAAGUCCCUUGCGGAUGGAGCCGAAGCCAGUCGAAGAUACCAGCUGGCUGCAACUGUUUAAUAAAAACACAGCACUCUGCAAACACGAAAGUGGACGUAUAGGGUGUGACGCCUGCCCGGUGCUGGAAGGUUAAUUGAUGGGGUCAGCCGCAAGGCGAAGCUCUUGAUCGAAGCCCCAGUAAACGGCGGCCGUAACUAUAACGGUCCUAAGGUAGCGAAAUUCCUUGUCGGGUAAGUUCCGACCUGCACGAAUGGCGUAAUGAUGGCCAGGCUGUCUCCACCCGAGACUCAGUGAAAUUGAACUCGCUGUGAAGAUGCAGUGUACCCGCGGCAAGACGGAAAGACCCCGUGAACCUUUACUAUAGCUUGACACUGAACAUUGAACCUUGAUGUGUAGGAUAGGUGGGAGGCUUUGAAGUGUGGACGCCAGUCUGCAUGGAGCCGACCUUGAAAUACCACCCUUUAAUGUUUGAUGUUCUAACCUGGUCCCGUGAUCCGGGAUAGGGACAGUGUCUGGUGGGUAGUUUGACUGGGGCGGUCUCCUCCCAAAGAGUAACGGAGGAGCACGAAGGUUAGCUAAUCCUGGUCGGACAUCAGGAGGUUAGUGCAAAGGCAUAAGCUAGCUUGACUGCGAGAGUGACGGCUCGAGCAGGUGCGAAAGCAGGUCUUAGUGAUCCGGUGGUUCUGAAUGGAAGGGCCAUCGCUCAACGGAUAAAAGGUACUCCGGGGAUAACAGGCUGAUACCGCCCAAGAGUUCAUAUCGACGGCGGUGUUUGGCACCUCGAUGUCGGCUCAUCACAUCCUGGGGCUGAAGUAGGUCCCAAGGGUAUGGCUGUUCGCCAUUUAAAGUGGUACGCGAGCUGGGUUUAGAACGUCGUGAGACAGUUCGGUCCCUAUCUGCCGUGGGCGUUGGAAGAUUGAGAGGGGCUGCUCCUAGUACGAGAGGACCGGAGUGGACGCACCGCUGGUGUUCGGGUUGUGAUGCCAAUUGCAUUGCCCGGUAGCUACGUGCGGAAAAGAUAAGCGCUGAAAGCAUCUAAGCGCGAAACUUGCCUCGAGAUGAGUCUUCCCUUGGACCUUGAGUCCACUGAAGGAACGUUUAAGACUAAGACGUUGAUAGGCUGGGUGUGUAAGCGUAGCGAUACGUUGAGCUAACCAGUACUAAUGAUCCGAGAGGCUUAACCUU
rnacentral:rRNA from 1 species